GGUUCUGAGGCAACUUCUAACAUGGAAUCCUCUAGUUCUUUGAGGAAAUUGUGGGUUCUUCAAUAAAUAAAUUAAUGAAUUUGCAGAAUGGAUUGUAUCCCUAGCCUCUGUAUACCUUUUAUGUCGACCAAAGAGAUCGUCACGAGGGAGGUGUACAUGUUGAAUCUGUUGAUUGACCUUCUUUUACAGCAAAGAAAGGAAGCCAUUUUGAAAGAGAAGUCAUGAAGAAUUAUGUAGUUUUGUUGAAGAAGAAGAAGAGAAACUUUAGUAAAAUAUAGGGAUUAUGCAUUAGUUUCUUUUGUUAGUUAUGUGAAACACUUAUUUAGACACAUUAUGUGUCUUCUUUUGCUAAAACCUCUGUGGUCAUAUUAUGGUGUGGUACAGUGUGAUGUUGCCACUUGCCUAUAAAACAUUAUUUAGCUGUAAAUUAUAGCAAGUUAUGACACUUUUUUGAAGUAUUGAUGCUAAAAUUUGUUAUUUUGAAGGCCAAAUUUGUUUGUGCAUAUAGUUUGGUAAGGCAGUGAAGAAAAUUUGUUAUUA